CGUAGGGUGCAAGCGUUAAUCGGAAUUACUGGGCGUAAAGCGUGCGCAGGCGGUUGUGCAAGACAGGUGUGAAAUCCCCGGGCUUAACCUGGGAACUGCACUUGUGACUGCAUGGCUGGAGUACGGCAGAGGGGGAUGGAAUUCCGCGUGUAGCAGUGAAAUGCGUAGAUAUGCGGAGGAACACCGAUGGCGAAGGCAGUCCCCUGGGCCUGUACUGACGCUCAUGCGCGAAAGCGUGGGGAGUAAACAGGAUUAGAUACCCUGGUAGUCCACGCCCUAAACGAUGUCAACUGGUUGUUGGGAAGGUUUCUUCUCAGUAACGUAGCUAACGCGUGAAGUUGACCGCCUGGGGAGUACGGCCGCAAGGUUG
rnacentral:rRNA from 1 species